UUUAGUCCUACCAUCUUAGGCCUGGUACUCGUUAAUUCAAAUUUGUAAAUACGGUGACAUUUUAAUCCAUUUUUAUACGAGUUAGUCCAAAAUAUUACAGAUCCAGAAAAAUUCAGUUAUUGUUAUUACCCUAAAUAUCCUUUUAAUGUUUUUGAUGUUUUGUAGAGAGAGAAACAAAUCAGUUGCAGAGAAAAUAGAUCUAGGUUUUCUUGUUAUUCUACCUCCUUCCCUUCGUCUGCUUCUAUUACAAUUGAUCAUAAAAAAAUAUGAUCCAAUAGAUAGGGUAACCAAAUAUAUCAGUUCAACAAUUUCAUUGGAGAUUUCGCAAAAAUGAACUAUUGGAUUGGGUCUUCGAAAUUUUGAAGGAGAAAUUAAAUAAAACAUAGACGUAAAGGAGAUUGAGAAGAAGCAUUAGAAGGAAAGUUGGGUUAUAUGGAUUAUUUUUUCCGCUACAAUCAAAACCGGAGAUGUUGAGGUGUCCCAUGUACUAUCACUUUAACCUUGCAUUUCUGGUGUGGCUCCAACUUCUAUCUUUUGAUGUUAUCUGCUAAACUUACCUCUACAAAUCUAGAUGUUAUCCAACUGGAGCUUGGCAUGGUUGAUAGUUUUUUGUCUGUGCGGACUAGGAUGGCAGUUUGGCAUAAUUGGAUUUUUUUUGGAUCUUUGCAGCGGUGUACAUAAUUGUACACACAAAUGUAAAUUAAUUUUUUUAAAAUGUAAAUUAUAUAGUCAUAUGUGUACUCUUUUUGUAGCUCUCAGAAAAUACUUUCCAAAUAUAUAAAGUUUGUCGAUUUUGGACGAGCAGU